GAUGAACGCUAGCGGCAGGCUUAACACAUGCAAGUCGAGGGGUAGGAGCAGCUUGCUGCUUUGAGACCGGCGCACGGGUGCGUAACGCGUAUACAAUCUACCUUUUACAGAGGGAUAGCCCAGAGAAAUUUGGAUUAAUACCUCAUAGUAUUUUCGAAUCGCAUGAUUUGAUUAUUAAAGUUCCAACGGUAAAAGAUGAGUAUGCGUCCCAUUAGCUAGAUGGUAAGGUAACGGCUUACCAUGGCUACGAUGGGUAGGGGUCCUGAGAGGGAGAUCCCCCACACUGGUACUGAGACACGGACCAGACUCCUACGGGAGGCAGCAGUGAGGAAUAUUGGACAAUGGGCGCAAGCCUGAUCCAGCCAUGCCGCGUGCAGGAAGAAGGUCCUAUGGAUUGUAAACUGCUUUUAUACAGGAAGAAACACCUCUACGUGUAGAGACUUGACGGUACUGUAUGAAUAAGGACCGGCUAACUCCGUGCCAGCAGCCGCGGUAAUACGGAGGGUCCAAGCGUUAUCCGGAAUCAUUGGGUUUAAAGGGUCCGUAGGCGGCCAAAUAAGUCAGUGGUGAAAGCCCAUCGCUCAACGAUGGAACGGCCAUUGAUACUGCUUGGCUUGAAUUAUUAGGAAGUAACUAGAAUAUGUAGUGUAGCGGUGAAAUGCUUAGAGAUUACAUGGAAUACCAAUUGCGAAGGCAGGUUACUACUAAUAUAUUGACGCUGAUGGACGAAAGCGUGGGGAGCGAACAGGAUUAGAUACCCUGGUAGUCCACGCCCUAAACGAUGUCAACUAGCUGUUGGGGCCUUCGGGCCUUAGUAGCGCAGCUAACGCGUGAAGUUGACCGCCUGGGGAGUACGGUCGCAAGAUU
rnacentral:rRNA from 1 species